ACUUGCUGAUAUCCCAAGCUCGACCAAAAAGCUUGUGGAUAUCAGUUCACAGGAGGAGGACGUCCAGGAGGAUGUUUAUGAGACCGUUGACAUUGAGCCUGUCGACGGAGCACGCGAUAUUGACUUUACCGUGAGUCAGCAUUCUCCGGUUAAACCUCCUCCCGCAUACGUACAGAAGUUGGUUCGUACCGCACGUGGUCGAAUCGUCCGAAAGGGUCCACUGGUUCGCACCCCGUAUACAAAUCCACUCAGAGGGAGGGCGAAACGGCAACUCCCCACGAUUCCAUCCUCUACGGCAGACCGUGAGGAAUCUUUCCUCACAUGGUAUACCAGAGCUGCGCCUUCUGACACACAUGAUGU